rnacentral:rRNA from 1 species
GCAGAACGCGAAGAACCUUACCGGCUCUUGACAUGUCCCGUUUGGGCUCCAGAGAUGGGGUCCUUCAGUUCGGCUGGCGGGAACACAGGUGCUGCAUGGCUGUCGUCAGCUCGUGUCGUGAGAUGUUGGGUUAAGUCCCGCAACGAGCGCAACCCUCGCCCUUAGUUGCCAUCAUUAAGUUGGGCACUCUAAGGGGACUGCCGGUGAUAAGCCGCGAGGAAGGUGGGGAUGACGUCAAGUCCUCAUGGCCCUUACGGGCCGGGCUACACACGUGCUACAAUGGCGGUGACAAUGGGAUGCAAUGGAGCGAUCCUGCGCAAAUCUCAAAAAGCCGUCUCAAUUCGGAUUGGGGUCUGCAACUCGACCCCAUGAAGUCGGAAUCGCUAGUAAUCGCAGAUCAGCACGCUGCGGUGAAUACGUUCCCGGGUCUUGUACACACCG